CGGACGGGUGAGUAACGCGUGAGAAUCUGGCUCUAGGUCUGGGACAACCACUGGAAACGGUGGCUAAUACCGGAUGUGCCGAGAGGUGAAAGGUUAACUGCCUGAAGAUGAGCUCGCGUCUGAUUAGCUAGUUGGAAGUGUAAUGGACUCCCAAGGCGACGAUCAGUAGCUGGUCUGAGAGGACGAUCAGCCACACUGGGACUGAGACACGGCCCAGACUCCUACGGGAGGCAGCAGUGGGGAAUUUUCCGCAAUGGGCGAAAGCCUGACGGAGCAAUACCGCGUGAGGGAGGAAGGCUCUUGGGUCGUAAACCUCUUUUCUCAGGGAAGAACAAAAUGACGGUACCUGAGGAAUAAGCAUCGGCUAACUCCGUGCCAGCAGCCGCGGUAAUACGGAGGAUGCAAGCGUUAUCCGGAAUGAUUGGGCGUAAAGCGUCCGCAGGUGGCUAUGUAAGUCUGCUGUUAAAGAGUCUAGCUCAACUAGAUAAGAGCAGUGGAAACUACAAGGCUAGAGUACGUUCGGGGCAGAGGGAAUUCCUGGUGUAGCGGUGAAAUGCGUAGAGAUCAGGAAGAACACCGGUGGCGAAGGCGCUCUGCUAGGCCGUAACUGACACUGAGGGACGAAAGCUAGGGGAGCGAAUGGGAUUAGAUACCCCAGUAGUC
rnacentral:rRNA from 1 species